rnacentral:rRNA from 1 species
CAGUAGCCGCGGUAAUACAGAGGGUGCGAGCGUUAAUCGGAUUUACUGGGCGUAAAGCGUGCGUAGGCGGCUUUUUAAGUCGGAUGUGAAAUCCCCGAGCUUAACUUGAGAAUUGCAUUCGAUACUGGGAAGCUAGAGUAUGGGAGAGGAUGGUAGAAUUCCAGGUGUAGCGGUGAAAUGCGUAGAGAUCUGGAGGAAUACCGAUGGCGAAGGCAGCCAUCUGGCCUAAUACUGACGCUGAGGUACGAAAGCAUGGGAAGCGAACAGGAUUAGAUACCCCAGUAGUCCCUGUCUCUUAUAC